AGCUUCAGUAGCGUAUAUUAAAGUUGUUGCAGUUAAAAAGCUCGUAGUCGCAUUUCUGGCGAGAGGAAUUGGUCCGACAUUUAUUGUGGGUACUCGAUUCUCUCUCGCCAUCCUUGAGUGGUCCGUUCUGGCAUUUAGUUGUCGGAGCGUCAGCCGCUCAUCGUUUACUGUGAGAAAAUUAGAGUGUUCAAAGCAGGCUUAUGCCGUUGAAUAUAUUAGCAUGGAAUAAUAAGAUAGGACCUCGGUGCUAUUUUGUUGGUUUGCGCACAGAGGUAAUGAUGAACAGGGACAGUUGGGGGUAUUUGUAUUUCGUUGUCAGAGGUGAAAUUCUUAGAUUUACGAAAGACAAACUACUGCGAAAGCAUUUACCAAGGAUGUUUUCA
rnacentral:rRNA from 1 species